GCAGACGGGUGAGUAACGCGUGGGAAUCUACCGUGCCCUGCGGAAUAGCUCCGGGAAACUGGAAUUAAUACCGCAUACGCCCUACGGGGGAAAGAUUUAUCGGGGUAUGAUGAGCCCGCGUUGGAUUAGCUAGUUGGUGGGGUAAAGGCCUACCAAGGCGACGAUCCAUAGCUGGUCUGAGAGGAUGAUCAGCCACAUUGGGACUGAGACACGGCCCAAACUCCUACGGGAGGCAGCAGUGGGGAAUAUUGGACAAUGGGCGCAAGCCUGAUCCAGCCAUGCCGCGUGAGUGAUGAAGGCCUUAGGGUUGUAAAGCUCUUUCACCGGAGAAGAUAAUGACGGUAUCCGGAGAAGAAGCCCCGGCUAACUUCGUGCCAGCAGCCGCGGUAAUACGAAGGGGGCUAGCGUUGUUCGGAAUUACUGGGCGUAAAGCGCACGUAGGCGGAUAUUUAAGUCAGGGGUGAAAUCCCAGAGCUCAACUCUGGAACUGCCUUUGAUACUGGGUAUCUUGAGUAUGGAAGAGGUAAGUGGAAUUCCGAGUGUAGAGGUGA
rnacentral:rRNA from 1 species